GAUGAACGCUGGCGGCGUGCCUAAUACAUGCAAGUCGAGCGAAUGGAUUAAGAGCUUGCUCUUAUGAAGUUAGCGGCGGACGGGUGAGUAACACGUGGGUAACCUGCCCAUAAGACUGGGAUAACUCCGGGAAACCGGGGCUAAUACCGGAUAACAUCUUGAACCGCAUGGUUCGAAAUUGAAAGGCGGCUUCGGCUGUCACUUAUGGAUGGACCCGCGUCGCAUUAGCUAGUUGGUGAGGUAACGGCUCACCAAGGCAACGAUGCGUAGCCGACCUGAGAGGGUGAUCGGCCACACUGGGACUGAGACAGGGCCCAGACUCCUACGGGAGGCAGCAGUUGGGAAUCUUGCGCAAUGGAGGAAACUCUGACGCAGCGACGCCGUGUGAGCGAAGAAGGCCUUAGGGUUGUAAAGCUCUGUCAAAAGGGAAGAACGCAUAGAACUUAUACUUUUAUGUUGACGGUACCUUUAGAGGAAGCACCGGCUAACUCUGUGCCAGCAGCCGCCGUAA
rnacentral:rRNA from 1 species